rnacentral:rRNA from 1 species
GAUGAACGCUGGCGGCGUGCUUAACACGUGCAAGUCGAACGGUGAAGGCGGAGCUUGCUCUGCUGGAUCAGUGGCGAACGGGUGAGUAACGCGUGAGCAAUCUGCCCCUGACUCUGGGAUAAGCGCUGGAAACGGCGUCUAAUACUGGAUACGAGCUGCGAAGGCAUCUUCAGCAGCUGGAAAGAAUUUCGGUCAGGGAUGAGCUCGCGGCCUAUCAGCUUGUUGGUGAGGUAAUGGCUCACCAAGGCGUCGACGGGUAGCCGGCCUGAGAGGGUGACCGGCCACACUGGGACUGAGACACGGCCCAGACUCCUACGGGAGGCAGCAGUGGGGAAUAUUGCACAAUGGGCGAAAGCCUGAUGCAGCAACGCCGCGUGAGGGACGACGGCCUUCGGGUUGUAAACCUCUUUUAGCAGGGAAGAAGCGAAAGUGACGGUACCUGCAGAAAAAGCGCCGGCUAACUACGUG